CCUACGGGGGGCAGCAGUGAGGAAUAUUGGUCAAUGGGCGCGAGACUGAACCAGCCAAGUAGCGUGAAGGAGGACGGCACUGCGGGUUGUAAACUUCUUUUAUAAGGGAAUAAAGUGAGGCACGUGUGCCUGGUUGAGUGUACUUGAUGAAUAAGGAUCGGCUAACUCCGUGCCAGCAGCCGCGGUAAUACGGAGGAUGCGAGCGUUAUCCGGAUUUAUUGGGUUUAAAGGGAGCGUAGAUGGGUUGUUAAGUCAGUGGUGAAAGUUUGCGGCUAAACCGUAAACUGGCAAUUGAUACUGGCAGCCUCGAGUACAGGUGAGGUAGGCGGAAUGCGUGGUGUAGCGGUGAAAUGCUUAGAUAUCGCGAAGAACUCCGAUUGCGAAGGCAGCAUACCGGCGGCGAUCUGACGCUGAGGCACGAAAGCGUGGGUAUCGAACAGGAUUAGAUACCCGAGUAGUC
rnacentral:rRNA from 1 species